AUAUAUGUAUAUAAUAUAAAUAUUUAUAGUGUCUUGCCAUCCUUGUUCAGUUUUAAACACCCUUUAUGUAGCAGUGUCUCCAUUCUUAACCCUGCUUCUCUGUUGGCGCACAGUGUAGUCCUGUUUUCAUUUUGUCCUUUAGCAGGGGCAGUCCACAGCCCAGUUGUACUAGGUUGUGGGGAGGCCAAAUAAGGUGCUGGAGACAGCAUGGGAGAUAUGGUUUAUCCAGGAAAACUUCUAACAGAUCAAUGACGGCUCCACGAAGAGUUCCGUGGCAACAGGCUGAACAGAUAGCAUCUGGGUCCCUGAAGGAAUUCAUUUACACCCUUAUCAACUGAAGGGAGUCAACUGGCUAGCCCAGGGAUUCCACUGUCAAAAUGGCUGCAUCCUGGGAGAUGAGAUGGGCCUUGGUAAGACCUGCCAGACGAUUGCUCUCCUCAUUUACUUGACGGGAAGGUUAAAUGAUGAAGGACCAUUUCUGAUUCUUAGUCCUCUGUCUGUUUUGGACAACUGGAAAGAAGAAAUGGAAAGGUACAGAGUAGAUGUAGCUGAACUUGUAUUGUUUAUGUUAAGAUAUUUUUCUAGAUGAUGGAUAAAAGAUCAUAAAGCAAAAUCUUGUCAUAUUCAAUGAUUUUUAUUCCAGAAAGGUUGAACUGAAACAGUGUAGGCAAGACACAAGAUCUGAUAGGGGAGGAUCCAGUGGGUUUUACUGUUACCCUUCUACAAUUUAAAGGCUAGUACUUAUUCUCAGUAAAUUUUACUGAUGUAAAGGAGAAACUGCCCUUCUCAUAGUAACAUAGGAAGUAACUAAAGUGAGAAACAUCAUUGCAUUUUUAGUUAGCAUGAGACACUCUUAGACCUGAUCCUUCUCCCUGCUUAACACAGACCUUAUCCUGGGGUUUAACCAUUAUUCUAGGUACAGUUCUGUGACCAGCACCUAAUGAAUGGCAUCUGCACACUGCAGUCAGUCCAUGACAUACACACACCAUCUCAUGGCUGUGGCAUUUGGGUUCAUCUGAUUCUUUCCUUGGAUUUAGAUUUGCUCCAGGUCUUUCUUGUAUAACAUAUGCAGGGGACAAGGAGGAAAGAGCCCAUCUUCAGCAAGACUAAAACAGAAGUCACGUUUUCAUGUGCUGCUGACUACCUAUGAAGUAUUCAUUCGUUUCUCCUAACCUGGGUCCUUAGAAGUUGUAGAACCCACUGAAUUAUAUUGACUUUUUUUUUUGAGAGCACACAUUUUUCUAGGAGGACAUCCACCUUCAACACAUUGUCAAAGAGGGACUGUGACCAAACGAAGUGUAGGAUCACUGUGCUUCAAGGUAGCUAGACAUAUUUCCCUCUCUACUGGUGGAUUAAGGGGAAAGCUUCCCAGAAAGUGGCACUUUAACCCUCUUUGUUGAUGAACAGGAUGAGGCAGGCAGCAGGGCAGAGGGUUUCAU